rnacentral:rRNA from 1 species
AUACGGAGGGUGCAAGCGUUAUUCGGAAUCACUGGGCGUAAAGGACGCGUAGGCGGGUUGGCAAGUCAGAUGUGAAAUCCUACAGCUUAACUGUAGAACUGCAUUUGAAACUGCUAGCCUAGAGUAUGGGAGGGGGAGAUGGAAUUAGUGGUGUAGGGGUAAAAUCCGUAGAUAUCACUAGGAAUACCGAAAGCGGAGGCGAUCUCCUGGAACAUAACUGACGCUAAGGCGUGAAAGCGUGGGGAGCAAACAGGAUUAGAAACCCUAGUAGUCC